rfam:Aedes albopictus isolate Foshan contig203690, whole genome shotgun sequence.
CAAACGGCCCUUUUCAGGGCCACCAGGAAGCGAUCCGCGAAAGAGU